UACGUAUGGUGCAAGCGUUAUCCGGAUUUACUGGGUGUAAAGGGAGCGCAGGCGGCACGGCAAGCCUGAUGUGAAAGCCCGCGGCCCAACCGCGGGACUGCAUUGGGAACUACCGGGCUGGAGUGCCGGAGAGGUAGGCGGAAUUCCUAGUGUAGCGGUGAAAUGCGUAGAUAUUAGGAGGAGCACCAGUGGCGAAGGCGGCCUACUGGACGGUGACUGACGCUGAGGCUCGAAAGCGUGGGGAGCAAACAGG
rnacentral:rRNA from 1 species